CGGGGCGUAGCGCAGUCUGGUAGCGCAUCUGCUUUGGGAGCAGAGGGUCGUGAGUUCGAAUCUCGCCGCCCCGACCA
rnacentral:tRNA from 1 species